CCAACUUUUAAUCCAGCUUGAGCUGCACCAAUUGCACGUUCACGGACACUUUUAUUGUAGUCGAAACUGCUUACAGAACCAAAACUGAGCUUCAGCAAAUACCUGAAAGACUUUCAGAAGGGAACGAUGGCCAACAGUGCUCUGUGGGCUUGUGCUGCAUUCCCAGGCUGUGUGUUGCUGACGGCGUUCUGAUGCUGCUGUGUUCUUCUCCAGGAGGAUUAGACACUUCCUGAAUUACAUGUUGUCGGUCAUGAGGAGGUUUGUUUGCAUCUGAAUACUCUCAUGUUCAGAACGAGCAAUAAGAUGGUGAGUAUUAUUUCCUUUAUUCAGAUAACGGCACAAAAGGACAAAUCAGUCGUCCUUGGAUCUGCCCCUCCACACAAAAAAAAAUAUCAACUAUUGUGAGUGUUUCAAUUGCAGGAACAUGAUGUAUUGUUUUCAUUGUAGCAAUGAGCUUAGUAAUUGUAAUGAGUACGUAUUAAUUCCCCAAUGAACGUCAAAUAUUUAGAUUUACCCCUUAAUUAAAAUGUGUACUUGAAUGCUUAUCUCCUCUGCUAUGUUACCUCUACUGUGAACAAUUAGGAUUUUUUUUUUCUUUUUUUUAAAGACACUCACUUCCAUAAGCUAAUUGUUUUCUCUUUUUUUCAGGGAGACUUUAUCAGAACUGGCCACUAAUUAACAGAAAUCACAGUAACUAUUGCAUAGAGGGAUCUUGUUAAAUCGAAAAGCAGAGUGAUCAGAGUGGCAAAGUGCUAAUUAAGCUCUGAAUGUGGGGGCUGCAUCAACAGAGCACAGGGAUGAUCCUUCGCUGUCUGUUUACAUCACUGCGGUGCAUUCUGGGAGGUCACCCCACAACCUGGGGCAGGCGUACUGUUCUGCUGCUCCGGGAAAAAAAAAAAUGUGGAGGGGCAGAGGAUCAGACAGACAGGAGUAACCAAGACUCAUUUCUACACAGAUGGACAUGUAAAAAGAAGCGGCGCGCGAUCGUCUGUACUUGCAGAUUAUUCCUCGCCAGGAAAAGCAUAGGAACCGACAGAUAAAGAGGGAGAGAACUUCCACGCUUUUCUUUUUUUCCAGUCCUGCUCUGACCUCUUGACAGUUCUCAUCCCUCGUUCUGCUCCUCCGUCUCUCCCUCUUUCUCUUAACAUUCCUUUAUCAUGACAGUGUUUCGUGAAAGAUAGGGCCAAGGCUUUGUGACUGUGUUUGAUGGAAAUUAGACAAUCGUUCAUUAGUGAGUUAGAUAAAGUCUCUCCCUUCCUCCGACCCGG
ensembl:lncRNA